UAUUUCAAGGUCCUCUUAUUUGAGAAUUUCGGUUGGAACUCAAACACACUUCUUGAGCUAAGAUACGUGAAAGAUGUCGUGUAAAGCUGAGAGUUUCUCAAGGAGUUUGAUCUGAUAGGCAAUUGGUUCGCAUAUUUCUAUAAUAUCAUCAGGACCAAUGUAACGUGGAGCUAACUUUCCCUUUAUUCCGAAUCGUUGUACGCCCUUAGUCGGCAAAACUCAAAGGUAUACGUGGUCGCUAGUUUCAAAUUGUAUAGGUCUCCUCCUUUUGUCGGAAUAGCUCUUUUGUCGAGACUGAGCUGCCUUAAGAUUUUCUUGGAUCACUUUCACCUUUUCUUCUGCAUCAGUUACCAAGUCUGGUC
rnacentral:lncRNA from 1 species